rnacentral:misc_RNA from 1 species
GCGGUGGUUUCUUGUGUUGAUUACCUAAUCGAUGGCAUUGUUUGUCCCCAUUAGUUGGAUUUUGUAACACGUUGCUUGCGGCGUGAUACAAACAAUGAAGCAACCUUUGUUGUCCAACCUGUUGCUGCUCAUGCAUCGAUGGCUUGGCCCAUGAAGUGUUGAUUGGUCCCUUGGAUAUGGAACAUGAUGUGGGCACAAGUUUGUCAAAGAUCUUGUAUUUGCCCUAUUGAGUGAUUUAGCUUCUUUAAAUGACCGUCUUCCAUGUAUCGUAAAGUCGGUGUAUGGAGGAUUGUGUCAAACAGAA